rnacentral:rRNA from 1 species
GACGAACGCUGGCGGCGUGCUUAACACAUGCAAGUCGAACGGAAAGGCCCUGCUUUUGUGGGGUGCUCGAGUGGCGAACGGGUGAGUAACACGUGAGUAACCUGCCCUUGACUUUGGGAUAACUUCAGGAAACUGGGGCUAAUACCGUAUAGGAUCUCCUGCUGCAUGGUGGGGGUUGGAAAGUUUCGGCGGUUGGGGAUGGACUCGCGGCUUAUCAGCUUGUUGGUUGGGUAGUGGCUUACCAAGCCUGUGGCGGGUCGCCGGCCUGAGAGGGUGACCGGCCACAUUGGGACUGAGAGACGGCCCAGACUCCUACGGGAGGUAGCAGUGGGGAAUAUUGUACAAUGGGCGGAAGCCUGAUGCAGCAACGCCGCGUGUGGGAUGACGGUCUUCGGGUUGUAAACCGCUUUCGCCUGUGACGAAGCGGGAGUGACGGUAAUGGGUAAAGAAGCACCGGCUAACUACGUG